rnacentral:rRNA from 1 species
UACAGAGGUCUCAAGCGUUGUUCGGAUUCAUUGGGCGUAAAGGGUGUGUAGGUGGCGCGCUAAGUCGGGUGUGAAAUUUCGGAGCUCAACCCUGGCAUGGCAUUGAAUACUGGAGGACUAGAGUACCGGAGAGGAAACUGGAAUUUACGGUGUAGCAGUGAAAUGCGUAGAGAUCGUAAGGAAGACCAGUGGCGAAGGCGGCUCUCUGGGACGGUACUGACGCUGAGACGCGAAAGCGUGGGGAGCGAACAGG